ensembl:lncRNA
CCCAAACUAAUUCACCACAACGAGGAGGAAAGCCCAGAGCUCAUUGCUGAACCUAUUGUUGACGCGUUGCUAUUCCGUACGCGUGUUUAACAGCUCUAAAAGCCAUGCCCUGAAGCUGAUCUACUGAUAAAUUGCUCUGCAGCUCCCUCUAAUGGAUCGUUUGGCCAGACAGGGGCUCGGGGCAGCAGAUGCGAUAAAGCAGCGCCCGCUGCAGGGUAACACCGAGAGAGCUCUGCAGCACCAUCGUUGCCGCUGCUAUCUCUCCCCGUCCAUCCGUCACUUCACUCUUAUCUCAGCAUCUGCUGCAGCUCUGCUUCUAAGAGCUGAGAGGAGCAGGCACAGCUAAACCAGAAGGAGGCCCACAGCUCACAGACGAGAGCACCUGAGGUGACUUGUGGCGAUGGAUUCAUUCAGGAAAUAAUCUUUUGGUCCACGUAGGCCAUGCACAGCCUUUCCACAGAAUGACAGAAUCGUUAAGGUUGGACGAGACCUCUCAGAUCACCCAGUCCAACCACCAGCCCAUCUUCUCCCUGCCCACUGACCACGUCCCUCAGUGCCACAUCCACAUGAUUCUUGAACACCUCCAGGGACGGUGACUCCAACCCCUCCCUGGGCAGCUGUGCCACUGCCAGAUGCCGUGGGACAGCUGCAUGAGCAUCUGAGACAGGUAAUCAAGCAAGUUCCCCAUACCGAUACAAAUCUCAGUUGCAGUCUAGGUGCAAUUGGAGCUACCCCACAGCCUCGCAGCAGGACUCAGCCAGGAGGCCAAUGCUCAGGGCUCAGCUAACGAGGCUGUCAGCACAUAUACAUGAUGUAUCCAUGUUGUCUGGGGUUAUAACUUACGGUUUUGGCACUCUUUCACAAGGCAUAACAAGAAUCUUGCCUGGAGCGUUCAGUGAGAUACAGACUAAGAAGGUGGAGGCACUAAAGGAAAAGACCAAUCCAACAAGCAACUGACAGAUAAAGUAGAUGUGAGGAAAUCACAGAGCUGAGCUGCCAGGACACUCCUGCAAGCAGCUCACCAUGCAGUCCAGGAUUCAGAUGUAGUUCCAGCGUUGCCAUAAGCCCAUCUGAACCCGCUGUCCCUUCUGUCCCGGCCCUUUGUUUUGAGAAGCAACAUCCUCAGUGUCCAGUGCAUGGGGCCUGCAGCUGCAAGGAAAGGCUGGUCAGCAGCCUGCCCUUGCUCCACAGCAUGAGGGAAAAGCAGCCAGUUCCCAGCAGGAUCAGCAAACUGCUCUACGUUGUCAUAAGGCCGUACGACUGCAGAGUGGGCAGAAGAAAGGUGGUUAUGAUGUACUGCAAGGGCAAGGGGGAGGCUGCUACUUCUCUCUUUUUCCUCUUUUCCACAGGCAGCCUGCAGUUAUAUUUCCCUAAGCUGACCAUGAAGGGACAAAGCAGCUUCUUAUGAAGUGGAGAUGACAACGCUUUGCUGGUGGUAAAAAAUAAAAAUAAAAAAUAAAAAAUAGAUCUAAUGUUGUGAUUGUACAGCUGGG